rnacentral:rRNA from 1 species
GUCGAGCGAACAGACGAGGAGCUUGCUCCUCUGACGUUAGCGGCGGACGGGUGAGUAACACGUGGAUAACCUACCUAUAAGACUGGGAUAACUUCGGGAAACCGGAGCUAAUACCGGAUAAUAUAUUGAACCGCAUGGUUCAAUAGUGAAAGACGGUUUUGCUGUCACUUAUAGAUGGAUCCGCGCCGCAUUAGCUAGUUGGUAAGGUAACGGCUUACCAAGGCGACGAUGCGUAGCCGACCUGAGAGGGUGAUCGGCCACACUGGAACUGAGACACGGUCCAGACUCCUACGGGAGGCAGCAGUAGGGAAUCUUCCGCAAUGGGCGAAAGCCUGACGGAGCAACGCCGCGUGAGUGAUGAAGGUCUUCGGAUCGUAAAACUCUGUUAUUAGGGAAGAACAAAUGUGUAAGUAACUAUGCACGUCUUGACGGUACCUAAUCAGAAAGCCACGGCUAACUACGUGCCAGCAGCCGCGGUAAUACGUAGGUGGCAAGCGUUAUCCGGAAUUAUUGGGCGUAAAGCGCGCGUAGGCGGUUUUUUAAGUCUGAUGUGAAAGCCCACGGCUCAACCGUGGAGGGUCAUUGGAAACUGGAAAACUUGAGUGCAGAAGAGGAAAGUGGAAUUCCAUGUGUAGCGGUGAAAUGCGCAGAGAUAUGGAGGAACACCAGUGGCGAAGGCGACUUUCUGGUCUGUAACUGACGCUGAUGUGCGAAAGCGUGGGGAUCA